UACGUAGGGGGCGAGCGUUGUCCGGAUUUAUUGGGCGUAAAGAGCGUGUAGGCGGCCAAGCAGGUCCGUUGUGAAAACUGAAGGCUCAACCUUCAGAGGUCGAUGGAAACCGCUUGGCUAGAGUCCGGAAGAGGAGAGUGGAAUUCCUGGUGUAGCGGUGAAAUGCGCAGAUAUCAGGAAGAACACCCGUGGCGAAAGCGGCUCUUUGGGACGGUACUGACGCUGAGACGCGAAAGCGUGGGGAGCGAACAGG
rnacentral:rRNA from 1 species